rnacentral:rRNA from 1 species
GAUGAACGCUGGCGGCGUGCUUAACACAUGCAAGUCGAACGGUGAAGGCGGAGCUUGCUCUGCUGGAUCAGUGGCGAACGGGUGAGUAACACGUGAGCAAUCUGCCCCUGACUCUGGGAUAAGCGCUGGAAACGGCGUCUAAUACUGGAUACGAGCUGCGAAGGCAUCUUCAGCAGCUGGAAAGAAUUUCGGUCAGGGAUGAGCUCGCGGCCUAUCAGCUUGUUGGUGAGGUAAUGGCUCACCAAGGCGUCGACGGGUAGCCGGCCUGAGGGGGUGACCGGCCACACUGGGACUGAGACACGGCCCAGACUCCUACGGGAGGCAGCAGUGGGGAAUAUUGCACAAUGGGCGAAAGCCUGAUGCAGCAACGCCGCGUGAGGGACGACGGCCUUCGGGUUGUAAACCUCUUUUAGCAGGGAAGAAGCGAAAGUGACGGUACCUGCAGAAAAAGCGCCGGCUAACUACGUG